rnacentral:SRP_RNA from 1 species
AGCGAAUCUUUGAACAAUUGCUUUUCGAAGGUGAACCCCGCCAGGUCGGAAACGAAGCAACGGUAUCCAUCGAUGGUUUUGUGUUUGACGAUUCGCUACC